rnacentral:lncRNA from 1 species
AAUGUUCAUACUCAAAUUGAAUAAACCCUCUAGUUCUUAAUAACACUUUUAGGUGUACUGCACUAUGCCAUGGCAUUCCAUAAUCUCAAAAGAAAACAACUAGCACUCAAUAUUUUAAACUCAAAAAAAAUUUUUAACUAUAAACUAAGAUCAAAGAAUGGUUCACAAUACUGCACUAAUUUUGAACCUUGCCUGCAAACUUUAACAGUCCCUCCUAUACAUGUCUACAAAUUCAAACUAAUAGAAUCUAAAUGGCUAAACCAUACUAUUCCAUAUUUCAAGCCGAGGAUCAUUUAAAAGAAAACAAUGAGCUCAAAAGUCAUUACCCACCUGAAAUAACUAAUUAUAAAUACAAUAAGGGAAACAACCUUUGCUUAACAUACAAGAGUAUAGGGCCAAAGAAUAUCAUCACCUCAGAAAUGAUCCUUAAAGCAUAAACAUGAACAUAAAUCCGUAAUCCGACUUCAUUACACACUAAUCCAGAAAUUUGUUUAGAAUUAAAAAAAAAUUCAAAGAACAUCAUGUUUAAACACUUUUUUUCUCAAGCCUACACUUUGAAGUGCAUUCAUUUGAUUUCUAUUGUGCUAGAGAAAUACCUGAAAUGAAAAGAAACAAAGGGUAAGAGGCCAACAACAACAGUAGAUCCCCACAGUUAGAAAAUGAACUAGCACACAAGUUUUAAACCUAGCAGAUGAGAUACAGUGAUCCAAACACUAUUUCAAUCAAUCAAUGGACCAGCAGACCUCAAACGAGACUCGACCUAAACCCAUUUUAGUACCAGCUAAGCAGAAUGCUUUAGCGCUAGAAAAACUUCAGAAAUCACUAAAAGGAAUUCAAUGGAACAAUGUUUUCUAAAAAUUUCUUCAAUCGUUUGAUUUCCUGAUUUCUUUAUCGCUUGAGCUCUUUAUUUUAAAUUGAAUAGUAGAAAUAUUUGGAUUUUUAUAUUUUGCUGGAUUCGUUUAGUGAAUUCCUCCAAUGAGCACCCCCUUAGAAGUUCCUUUACAGAGAAGAUACUAGGGCAGCUGAAAAUCGUUUAUUUUUGCCUUUUAGAUCUUUUUCAAUUUUUCUUUUUCCAGCUUAGACCCUAAAUUACUGACUUGUUUCCCAAGCAAGUUUGUUCUUUCAGCUUCUAAGAAGCUUCUUUAGGUUGUUACCAAAGGAAGAUUCUUUACUUGGUUACCCAAAAAAACCCUUAGUUACCCUGUUUUUACACUUAUGGACAAUCCCCUAGGCCAAAAACAAACCGGGCUUCUUUUGAAUCAGGCUAUAAAUGAGUCAACAGGCCCAAAGCUAAUUUUGAAGAAAUCCAACAUGUAUUCAAAGCUCAAUUUCUGGCUCAAACCUAACAGAGGCUAAUUGACAAUGUAAGAAGAAACCAAUUGAUCAUUUUCUAACUAUUAAAUCGCCACUUAUGAAAAACAAAAGAAUAAAGAUCAAAAAUAACAAAAUUAACAUAACAGAAUUGACCAUAAGUUCGUUUGACAAAGCCGAACAAAAUAACUAACAAGGUCAUGCCAUCUAAUUCCACUAAAUGGUAAAAUGAAACAAAAAAAGUAGAAUGAGAAAGAGAAAAAAGAAGACAAGGAAAAAAGAACGAAAAUAAAGAACGAGAAGAGGAGAACAAAAAUACCCAAAGCAUAUAGGCAGAUGGUUUGUUUGAAAUGACCUCCAAUACCAUCCAAUUUUGACUGAAAUAGGUUUUAAUCAUGUGUUCACAAAUAAAAACACAUGCAUAAAACCCCUUCGGGCUUCAAAUCUUAAACACGACCACUGAUUUACUUUUGGAAACUUAGGGCUCGGAGGUUCGAUUAAAAAUUCGAAAGGUUCUGAAGUGUUUUGUGGAUAACAGAGUGGGUAAUGGGAAUGAGUGAGGCUUGAGGGUUAUUUCGUGUUAAUUUGGUGGUUUUUUAGAGGUGGCGCUGGGGUGUUAAUUUCAGGGCAACUAAAUGUUCACCGCCGCCGUGGGGCAAUUCCGGCGGCGACUUGUGGCAUCAUUACAUAAGAUUGAAGGGGUGAGGGAGACAAUUGGAUGGAGCGGGGGUGGGUACGUUUGGACAUAUUUAUAUUGAAUGAACCUAGCUUCUCCAAACCUCGAUGGCUGAGAUUAGCUUUUGAUCAAAAGGGUCAUUUUGGCUGGAGAGGGAGGAGGAUAGGUAAGGGUGAAAAUGAGCCGGUUUUUGGGGCUAUUUGGAUGGGUG